GACACUAUGGCCGAGCGGUUAAGGCGUGUGACUAGAAAUCACAUCUCUUCGGAGGCAUCGGUUCAAAUCCGAUUGGUGUCG
rfam:Fonsecaea erecta strain CBS 125763 Scaff4, whole genome shotgun sequence.